CACCACUCGCCACACCGCCACCCACCUGCUUCAACGACGUAGACGUAAACGUACCCAAAAGCAUCGUAAUCACACGCAGCCACCAUCACACCAAAUACCAAAUUCACAGUUAGCCUUGUUGCCGAGAACGCAAUGUAUUUUACCGGAGACUUGUUGAAAAUAAAAAACUUGAACGCGAAUGACAAUUGUUCAAGCAACUUGUGGUUUGGCUCGCAAGGAGAAACUACAUGAAAAAUGGUUUCGGGAUCGAUGAUUAAAAUGUUAUACGCCACAAAAAGUACGGUUUCGAAAUUAUAUUAAAGAGUUUGAAUAAUGGCAACAAUGGAACGUCUCUGGUCUUCGGCAUCUUCCUUCGGUCAUAGCGAAAGACAUGUCCUCUCCCCAACUCCAACCGGUUCUUUAUAAUUCCCACACAUUACCGUUAGUCAAAUAAUCAUCAAUGACCCUUUGCGAAAGAAUGAUGUUCUCUAUAAAAGUCCUGAAUGAAAUGAAUUCGUAAAUCCUACUGUGAAUUUCACAACAAUUUUAAAUUGCAUUGUGAUUUUUGUAUAUUAUCGAUAUCGUUAUGACGGCCGGUUUGGUGCAAGGUGGUUCGACGAGUGUACCAAAACUAAAAAAAUCGAAAAACAAUGAUGAAACUAACAACGUUCAUUUUGGGGAAUCUCGAAAUAAUUCCAACUGGUGGUAUUUAUUUGGAAUCAUCGUUGUCCUCACAGCCGGUACCAGAUUUUACAACGUUUCUGAACCUCAACAUGUCUGCUGGGACGAAACGCAUUUUGGUAAAAUGGGUAGCUGGUACAUCAACAGAACUUUCUUUUUUGACGUACAUCCUCCGCUGGGCAAGAUGCUUAUAGCUCUGUCGGGAUAUUUGACAGGAUACGACGGCACGUUCCCGUUUGAAAAACCAGGAGACAAGUUCGACGGAGUCAGCUAUCUUGGCAUGAGGAUUUUUUGCACAUUUUUGGGAGCAUCAAUUGUUCCCUUGGCUUUCCUGAUUGUCUGGGAACUGGCCAAGUCUCUUAGGGCCUCAGCUUUAGCAGCUAUGUUUAUUUUGUGUGACGUGGGACUAUUGACUCUGAACCGUUAUAUUCUCCUGGAUCCGAUAUUACUCUGUUUCAUGAUGUGCGCAACUUGGGGUAUGGCCAAAGUUGGCUCUUUGCAAAAUGAGCCAUUUACAAAACGUUGGUGGAGUUGGUUGAUUUUUACCGGUGCUUCUCUCGCUUGCACGAUAAGCGUAAAAUUCGUUGGACUCUUCGUCGUACUCCUCGUUGGAAUUUUUACUGUUUACGAGCUGUGGCGAGAGCUCGGAGACCUAUCCAAACCAGUGACGUACGUCGGUAAACAUUUGUUGGCUCGUGCUCUUUGUCUCAUCGUUUUGCCAAUUCUCAUGUACAUGCUUUUUUUUUAUAUUCAUCUCGCUGUAUUGAAUAAAAGUGGAAGUGGUGAUGGAUUUUAUAGUUCGGAAUUUCAGUCGUUGCUCCAAGGUAAUUCCUUACACAAUGCGACAAUGCCACGGCAAUUGGCGUACGGUGCGACGAUAACGUUGAAAAAUCACCGAACAGGUGGCGGUUAUUUACACUCUCACUGGCAUCUGUAUCCCGAGGGUAUAGGCGCUCGGCAGCAACAAAUCACCACUUAUUCUCACAAAGACGACAAUAACAUGUGGCUCGUUAAACAAUACGACAAUAAUGAAAUUCCCUCGGAUCCUGUAUUGGUCAAACACGGAGAUCUCAUUCGGCUGGAACACGUUAUAACUCGACGAAAUUUACAUUCUCACAAAGAAGUGGCUCCCGUUUCGAAAAAGCACUAUCAAGUCACGGGUUAUGGAGAGAAUGGAACCGGAGAUGCCAACGAUGUUUGGAAAAUUUAUAUAGCCAAUGGCAACGAUGGUGACGUUGUUGAAACCGUUACCAGCAAAUUGAAAUUCGUUCACUAUCUUCAUCACUGCGUCUUAACGUGCAGUGGUAAAACAUUACCCAAAUGGGGCUACAGUCAGCAGGAAGUCUCCUGCAAUCCAAAUAUAAGAGACAAGAAUGCUCUCUGGAACAUCGAAGAUAAUCAAUAUUCCAAAUUACCGAACGUGAGCUUUCAAGUUUAUGCCCCGGGAUUCAUCGCAAGAUUCAUUGAGUCUCAUGCAGUCAUGUUGCAAGGAAAUUCAGAUCUUAAAGUUAAAGAGGGAGAAGUGACUUCACGACCCUGGCAAUGGCCCAUUAAUUACCGAGGCCAAUUCUUCUCGGGUAAUAAUUAUCGCAUAUAUCUACUCGGGAAUCCAAUAAUUUGGUGGGGAAAUAUAGCGUUUCUCAUACAUUUUGCUUUCACGUACUUGUUCACAUCUGUUCGUGAACAGCGUGGUUGUCAAGACGAUCCUCGUAUCAAGGCCAAUAGAAAAAAACUCAAAAAUGCUGGUGCUUGGUUGUUCAUCGGCUGGCUUCUUCACUACGUACCAUUUUGGGCAAUGGGACGCGUUUUAUACUUUCAUCAUUAUUUUCCUGCGUUAUUGUAUAGCUCGAUGCUCACUGGAGUUACGCUCGACUUUAUUUUCGAUGGUAUAUAUUUUCAAAUAUCUGGAAAUAUUGGUAACGUGCUACAUCAUGUUUUAUUGAGCGGCGUCAUUUCCAUCACUUUUUACAGUUUCUAUCUGUUCGCCCCGCUGUCCUAUGGAAUGGACGGUCCCGCAUCGGUGGACCCGGAGAGCCCGAUGCAUUUCUUGCGCUGGCUCGAUUCGUGGGAAUUUUAAAGACGUACAAUCUUUUUACAAAAUCGUCAUUACUUCAUUUUACGUUUGAAAAACAUCGCAAAUUCUUUUCUUGUACUUGGUUCAUCAGAGUGUUUUAAGAUUAAUAUAUUUUGUCAAUAAAUCUAUUGCAACUCGAAAAGAAAAAAACCAAGUUUAUUACGUCGACGCCUACGACCAAGAUGAGCUCUAUGAAGAUUUCAAUUUUUUUUUUUAUGAAAGAAAAAAAAACUUUAUCGGAUUGGAAAAGUGUAUGAAAGGGACUCUCAAGUCUUUGGGACUGGUCUUAUCGCCGCGUUUCAUUUUGUCGCUAUGAAUGACGAGCUCCGUUAUAUAUAGUUGAAACCGCGGACGCUCGACCGAGCCGGAAUGUUUGGAAAUUUUUAAAUCAAAUGUCGACGGUGGAAUGGGUUCCAGAGAGAGACGAUUCAAAGCCCAGAAUAAUCAUCAAUUCAGUGACGUAACGCCUCCUUUUCAUUGCGGCACUGGAGCAAACGCACUCGGGAUAUUCAAACCGCCUAAAACUGCCUGACCUCUGUCAAACGUCACGCGUAGCAGAUUCCCGGACAGAAAACUCAUAUGUCGAGCGCGACAGUGAAUCG